rnacentral:rRNA from 1 species
CACGUGAGAAUUUUACCUUUAGGAGGGGGAGUAACAAUACGGAAACGGAAAUAGCUAAUAACCCCACUAUGCUUUCGUAGUGAAAUAGGAUUUAUUAUUUAUUCCGCCCUACGAGAGAAGCUCGCGGCUGAUUAGCUUGUUGGUAAGGUAAGAGCUUACCAAGGCGACGAUCAGUAUCUGGUUUGUAGAGGACGAUCAGACACACUGGAACUGAGACACGGUCCAGACUCCUACGGGAGGCAGCAGUGGGGAAAGUUUUCCGUCCAAUAGGGCGGAAAGACCUGACGGAGGCAAUAACCG